rnacentral:rRNA from 1 species
UACGUAGGGGGCAAGCGUUGUCCGGAAUCAUUGGGCGUAAAGCGCGUGUAGGCGGCUCGGUAAGUCCGCUCUGAAAGCCCGGGGCUCAACCCCGGGAGGCGGGUGGAUACUGCUGAGCUCGAGUCCGGAAGAGGAGUGUGGAAUUCCUGGUGUAGCGGUGAAAUGCGCAGAUAUCAGGAGGAACACCAAUGGCGAAGGCAGAUCUCUGGGCCAUUACUGACGCUGAGGAGCGAAAGCAUGGGGAGCGAACAGG